rnacentral:rRNA from 1 species
GAUAAACGCUGGCGGCGUGCUUAACACAUGCAAGUCGAACGGGGUGGUUCUCCCGAGGAUUGACGGUGCUUGCACCUGAUUGACUCAUUUGAAUCACUUAGCGGCGGACGGGUGAGUAACGCGUGAGCAACCUGUCCUUCACGAGGGGGAUAACACAGCGAAAGUUGUACUAAUACCGCAUAAGACCACAGAGCCACAUGGCUCAGGGGUCAAAGGAGUAAUCCGGUGAAGGGUGGGCUCGCGUCCGAUUAGAUAGUUGGUGAGGUAACGGCCCACCAAGUCGACGAUCGGUAGCCGACCUGAGAGGGUGAUCGGCCACAUUGGGACUGAGACACGGCCCAAACUCC